rnacentral:lncRNA from 1 species
AGGCUCAGAAGGAACAAUGAUAAAAUGGUAGAACAACAUGACAUCACCUCCGCAUCACAAAACAGGCAAAGUUAUAAUCCUCUUCACUAGGAUCCCUCUGUGACUCCUCUAAACAGAAACAAUAACAAAAAAGCAGAGGCAGAGAUUAAGCACACUUACAGAUUUCAGAGGGGAAAAAACUUAGAAAAGUAAAAAACGAAUGUGGACUGAUGCCAUUGCAGCACCUGUGACCUGCCUGGACUCCGUCAUCACAAUGUCAAAAUUCUGUCACAAUGUCAAAAUUCUGUCACAGUGCCAAAAUUCUGUCACAGUGUCAAAAUUCUGCUGAGUUUCACGCCAAGGGAGGGGAAGGAGAAUAUUCAUCCUCUUUUCCCAUUUGGUGUCACAUGCAAUUAUAUGGGGCCCAAAGCAGAUCAGCUUAUAUCCAGCACCUCUUAUAUGGAAGGCAUCAAUGAGAACCAAAAUAAAAACUACAAUCCCUCACUCAAGAAGUUUAAAAUGAAGUGAAUGGACAAUUGUGAGAAGAAAUGCUAUUGAUCUUCCAAAGUUGUAUAUUCGAUAGUGAAUAUUGUAUGUUUAAAGUAACCUUGCAAAAUGUGUCAUGUCAAAUGUAAUAAAUUGUAUGUUCUGACGAAGGAAUGGAAUGCCAGAUCUAAGGAACUGAAAUUUAUCUGGGCACUGG